rnacentral:lncRNA from 1 species
UUUUUUUUUUAUCAUUCAUAAUUGUUUUUUGCAAAGAUACAAAUCACUGAUGAGCAAUGACUCAAUGUCUCGUAUGGGAGGGAAGAGUUCAGAAAAUGGUGUUCUUCUAAUAUUCUUUCCUUAUUAACCAAAGCAUUUUUUGUAAUGAGAAGCCUCUUUUAUAUUCUGUUUGCUCAAAAAUACCAUUUGUAUUGGAAAGACAGGAUAAAUGCUUUUUUCUAUCCUCCCUUUUAAAAUCAGUUUUCAAAAUAACUCUUUGGUUUAAUGGCAUCUUGUAAAGGAGAUAAAUUAACUUUGUUUUUUGUGUCAUAUGCUUAUGAGUUUAAACAUAGUUUAUUGUCCCAUUUGUUGACAAUGUGAUCCUCCUCCAGUUAACUUAUAGCAGCAUUAUUUAUAAUAACUAGAACUUGGGAACAACCCCAUUGUCCAUCAGCUGACCAAUAGAUAAUCAAAGUUUGACAUAUCCAUUUAUUGUAAUACUGUAUUAUUCAGCCAUAAAAUAAAAUGAAGCACCUUGUAAACUUUAGUAGCUUCCUUGCUAUCUGGUUAGAUGUUCCAGGUGAACGUUUAUGGUCCCAAAUGUGGAAUAGCUAUUUCUCUAAGGAUCCCUGAUUCCUUUUAAUGGGAAAUAGAAUUCAGAAGCCAGUCUCAUGCUAAGGAUAUUCAUUCUUGUAGAUUUACUGCUAUCAAUUCGUACUGAUACUUUCAAUUGACAUUCAAAACUAUAAAUUCAAUUUGCCAUUUUUUCCUUCAACUUUUAACCAUUGAUAAUGAAUAAAUACAAGUAUUUAUGUAUAGCAAAACCAGUUAAAAUUUUCAUGACACAUAUUUAUUCAUUCACAUAGUUCACUGCUGUGUAGGUGUGUGAUGUGAAACAUUGGACAGGGUCAAAAAAUAAAUUAAGACACCCUAAAAUAUUUUCACUGAAUCCUUUUGCUCCAUCUGCUCCAGACUUUUCUCAGCUUACCAUUCUAUCCCUUUCUCUCAUACAUUCUUUACAUGUCUUCAGCUCUAACGAUUGAACAGAAUGAAAUUAAUCAGUGACUCAUAUAAAAAUCCAGUAUUUAGGUCCUGCUCUAACUUUUUCCCUAAACCAGAAUGGACAGCUUCAUAUAUAUAAAUUUACACAUGGAUUUCAUCUCUUCCUCUUUUUUUCCAUAUGAUGUUUAAUAAAAACACCAAAAUCAGAAACCUAGAGUCAGAUUCUUCUCUCCUGGUUACUCUGCAACCCCAACCUUAAUACAAAAUCAUGCUCGGGUGAUUUUCCUUCAAAUGUUUCUCACAGUUAUGGGAAAAUAUUUCUAAGCUGUGUUUUCUCUGUCUUUUCUAUGAUCAGUUUAAUUUGGUUUUAGUUUGUGUACUUGUACUAUUACAAUUACAAUUCUUAAAUCUACCCUCUUUAUUGCCAUCAGGAUAAUCUAUUUAAAAUGCAUAACUACACUACUGUGGCUGCCCAUGCUUAUCAU